rnacentral:rRNA from 1 species
GACGGAAGGUGCAAGCGUUGCUCGGAAUCACUGGGCGUAAAGGGCGCGUAGGCGGCCUGGUAAGUCUGGCGUGAAAGCCCCGGGCUCAGCCCGGGAAGGGCGCUCGAAACGGCGCGGCUCGAGUGCCGGAGGGGAGAGUGGAAUUCCUGGUGUAGCGGUGAAAUGCGUAGAUAUCAGGAGGAAUACCGGUGGCGAAAGCGACUCUCUGGACGGCAACUGACGCUGAGGCACGAAAGCGUGGGGAGCAAACAGG